UACGUAGGGUGCGAGCGUUAAUCGGAAUUACUGGGCGUAAAGCGUGCGCAGGUGGUUCGUUGUGUCGGCGGUGAAAGCCCCGGGCUUAACCUGGGAAUGGCCGUUGAAACUGGCGAACUGGAGUGUGGCAGAGGGGGGGUGGAAUUCCGCGUGUAGCAGUGAAAUGCGUAGAGAUGCGGAGGAACACCGAUGGCGAAGGCAGCCCCCUGGGCUAACACUGACGCUCAGGCACGAAAGCGUGGGGAGCAAACAGG
rnacentral:rRNA from 1 species